GUCAGAGCCCUGCAUUGGGGGGAGAAAAUGGGAGGCUAAGGUUAGCCAAGCCUCCUUCCGUCUAUUGGUUAGAGUCCUCGGUCCUUGCUACCUACGACAAGAGGGUGGGGGUGUGGGGGGUUCUGACAAGCACAAUUUACACAGAGCUCGCCCUACGCUGCUGUUUACUUUGAAAGCUGAUUAGUAUGGGUCGGCUAUUGUUACAAAAGGAGAAGAAACCCUGGAUGGAAUGGCUGAAAGAGAUGGGGGCAAAAAAGAAACGCUCUGCGUAUGUGAAAUUUACGGACGCGAGUGGCGAAAUAGCUCCAGCUGAAUCCUCCGAAGUUUCAGACGGUUUGUACGGUGCUGUUGCUUUUAACCACGAAUGGACGCUAAUGAUAUAUACAGCUCCCAGCCACCGACGGCUAUGUGAAUAUACUUUUUAUAUAUUUAUUUACUUAUUUUUCCUCUGCAUGGACGUUUAUUUGUGAGCGCAGGCGUCAUUGGUACAUUAUGUUACAGAGAAAAGUAGUCUACUCAAUAUAGGCUAUAUGUGUAGGCUAUGGUGGAAAAAAGACUGCGCUCAUCAGACUUAAAAAUAUACGGAUCGGGCUGCCAUCUAGCGUACAGUGAACAUUUUAUGUGCCAAAGCAACUAUAAAUCAUCAAGAUUAAGUAUUGUUCUAAAAAAACUAACCUCAUUAUUCACUGCUCUAAAUAUUUUACAUGGGUUUAUAUAGUUACGUAGACACCAAUGAUAAUAUGCUUUGCGCAUUAUCAGAACGUGUUAUUAUUAGUAUUAUUUUUAAUUGAAGGCCAUCACAGAUGUGAACGCAGCGAUGCGUGUCAUAAUUUCUAUCAAACUUAGUAAUGAGUGAUUUGUUUAUGGUUUGUAGUUUUUUGUUGUAAUUUAUACAAUUUUUUAAAAAAUUCGCGUCGCUUCAAUACUAGUGUUGGUGCGCGAGUGUGUGUGCGUGCGUGUGUGAGGGGGGUGGGGGGUGGGGUGACAGCUAGCCCAUUGCACAGUGGACUAUCAUUUCCUCUCCACAACUUUCAAAAAAAAAAAAAAAAAAUCGGUCGUGUCUUCGGUGUGAUGAAAAGGUGAAGCGAAUAAGAUUAAUUCAGACAAAGGGAAACCUCUGUAAGUGAACCAUCAAGAUUUUAUUCUUUACAGCCUGGCAAGGGGGGGAGAGAUAUAAUGUAGGCCUAUGUGUAUUGGGGGAGGGUGUUGGCUGCAAGGGUGGCGAACGACAGCAAAGAGGAUACCAACACGAGAACCGCGAGCUGCGGGGGAAAGGACAUUGGAACAUUAAAAGGAGCACUUUCCAGCGACGACAAUAUGCUCCCGAAACACUGAAAUACAAUUUCCACAGGCAAGUACACGAUCUCUUUAUUACAUAUUCGGCCAUAUAGCCUACACAUAUUCAUGAAGGCAGACAACAUUUAUGUACAGCAGACGUUCUGAGCCAAAUAGGCAAGUAACUAUUUAUCCGAAUCCAUGUAAGUAAAACCUCACAUUGUGUUAUUACUUGUAUUUCGAAAUUCCAGUGUUCUUAUGUUAAAGAUGACUUUUUGCCCAUUUGUAGCAGCAUUAGCAUACCUGGUCCUCUUCUAUGCUACAUACUUCUCGUCAGAUUUGUUGCUUGAUGACUUGGUCAAAAGAUCAAUUGUCUGUUUUCCAGCCAGUGUCAACAGGUAAGGAAAGUUAUACGAGCGACGUAAACGGAAUAGGGCCAGUUAAACAAAAGAAAACCGCUUCAAAGAAUUUAAACUGGUAGCUACCAUAAGCAAAGGAAACAGAUCAUAUAGCCUACUGUCAAUUCAGAAUACAAUAUAACACUGCACAAGACAAGCCCAAAUUGAUAACUCAACCUGGGACUAUGGGACCUAGGUGGUAGGUAAAACAACAACAUCCAUGCAGUGUUUACAAUGAAGAGUACGGGCGUAGAUAUGCACUGAAAAGACAAAUGUCAAGGCACGUAUCCAAAUGACAGUUCAGUUAUGCAAACUUUUUUUCGGUGAAGCUUAGGCUACUCGUCACUUCGUCAACUUUAUUCCAAACUGAGAAAGACGAAUAGAACAAAAAUCCAUUAAACCAAUUCAAAUAAGGCCUAUUAACGACACUUGUGACCUGGCAUCAUACUUCAUGAUUUAGGUAAGUCUGUCUCAUUAAUGAUGUACUUUCCUUGCAGCAUAUCAGAGCAUAGCAAGUAGUGUAGGGUAUAUUUCGCGGCAGUGGGAUUUAUAGGUUGCGUGCUCUUGUGUGUGCCCGCGCAUAUACGAUAGCCGACAUAUCAUAAACAGUGAAAACAACGUUUUAUACAAAAAAGUGAGUUUUACACACCGUUAUAGGCGCACGGAACGCUGGGUAGAGUCCGUUUCUCGAAGAAGCUUGUUCUAAUCCAAACGGUAGCCUAACGGUAUGGCAGGCUAUAUUAAGUCCGUACCCUGAAAGCUUCAUCUUCACAUCUGAGAGGGAAAUGGAUGCGACAAAUUCAGCCUCAUUCGCUGGUACACAAUCUUGAGUAAUUAUCUAAUUUGUGAUAUGUGCAAUACAUAUGUAUGUAUUGCACAUAUCACAAUAUGUCUGUAUGCAAUACAUAUGUAUAUAUUUUGCUAUAUAUGCUAUUAAUUAUCCUAUUAAUAGGAUAUAGGCCUAUGCUAUAUGUCCUAUUAUUGCUUCGUUUAGGUCUAUAUGUAACCUACUGCUAAUUUAGCGAGUUGUCACACAGUGGAUUUUAACAUAGCUAAUCUUUUUAACUUAAAAACCAGCACAGUAGUUCUAAUUGCUUUUCACGAUGUUUAAAGGCCUCUUAUCGAGAAGCCAUCUGUAAAAAAAAACAUACAUAGGCUAUUUCAUAGCCGUUCUGAGGUUUAAUAUUACACAGGCAGACUAACUUUUUUCAACAAUGCCCGUAUCUUUACACUGUUUUGAACUGUCACAAGCUUGUAAACCCCUUGGGGUUAGUUAAUUCGUUGGCAGGAAAAAGUCGUAUCAAUACAUUUUUCAUUGUGUCUUCUGCUUGUGCAGUACAUAGGUAGUGAUGCUGUUUGGCAUUCCAAUCCACAUUAUAUCUCAGAGUUAGCAAGGGCUAGAAUAACAGACGUUGACAAUUAAAAACGCGUUUUAUUUCAAAUAAUGUAAGGAUUAAAAAUAAAAAAAGAAAGAAAGCCUAUUAAGUCCCUGAUAUGACUUAUUUCACACUCACUACUGCUGCAGUUGAUAUUAGGCUAUUUUACUACAGAAAAUGUAUAUGCUAUAUUGUAUCAAACCAACAAAAAACAUGCAGAAGUUAGUAUAACGCGAAUAUAAAUCCGAAAUACAAUUCUAAGCAUGUUCAAGGUCUUCUUCCUGGCCGUAUAUAGUGAUAAGCUUAACAGCAAUGGAAUUGCGCGCUGACCCACGUUUGUGGAUCUUAAGGAACCGUAAUGAACACAUUUCUGUGAAUGUCGUUAGCAUUCUUUAUGUAAUUUGAAUUAAAACAGUAUUUUGAAGACUAAACUAGUAGGCCAAUCGCGUUAAUGAAAAUCUUAUUAUACUUUUUUCUUGAUACACCCCAUCACACCGUUGCUCAAAAAUAAGCACAGCUGUUGUGUUUUUAUAGCAGAGGAAUCUUGCUCAGGGGCUCUACAAGCUUUAAGUGAAGACGAGGGUGAUUUGGUCCUCGGGAUAUACGAGGCCCAGACUGGAGUUUAAAGAACACGAAGGUUGCUUGAAAAAAUGUUAAAAAAAAGUUGAUAAAGUGCAAGUGAUGUACUAGAGACAGAGUUAAGUGUCUGUCCGUCUGUCUGUCUCACUGUCUGUGUGCGUGUAUGUGUGCAUCGGAGUGUGUGUGUGUGUGUGUUUCUGUGUAUGGUUGGAAACACUGAAUCUGAUUCUAAAUGUUGAUGCAGAUACGACCAUAAGCUCCGUAUUAAACUUAAACAUUUCCCUUAAGACGGGAUGCAUAUAUAUAUAGGAUACCCACUAAUUUGCUGUAGAGUCUGCCUAAAUGUUUUGCAGUUGUACGCAGAAACUUUAUUAGUUCUGAAUUUGGAUAAACAAUCAAACUUAGAUUGCUGCUGUCCUCUAGUGCUAAUGAAUUCUUAAUGAACUUGUGGUUGAACUGAGGAAUUGUGAAGAUACAUCAUUGCAGAAAAAAACGUCUUUCGAUGGGUGAUAGACCUAGUCCUAAUUAGUUUGUAAGGUAUCCGAAACCAAUGUCAUAAAUCAAUUAGCACGUGCGGUUCAUCGUAGAUACCCGACUCGGAAACGACAUAGCAGCAGACGAAAGGUGCACGCUGAAUAUAAUUGACUUAAAAAAGAAAACUUCUCUAUAGCCACAUUAUAAGGACUUAUGAAUCGUUCCAAAAUUGGAUAACAUAAAAAAGUAUUUACAAAUUAAAUAAAGAGCUAAGCAAAAGUUAGUAUUCAGCAUUUAGUCACCACCACCUGAGACAACCCCUCCCCCCCCGCCCGUUGUUUGCGUAUAGCACUACGAUAAUCAGGCUUGCAAUAAGAAAUAGCAUUUAAAUAGGACACUAUAACCCACAGAGUGCUUUUAACAGAAGUACACACGUUAUUUGGAUAACGGAGUUAAAACCACUUUUCAGCACCAUAUUAUUGUAGACCGUUAUGACAAAUAGAAUGAGACCUAAAGCGGCUACUGAGAAAGCUUUCUCUACUGUGGAAAUGACUCGAAUACUCAUGAAAAUUAAUUAUCAUUUAUUAAUAAUAUAACAAUACUUAAAUUAGUAGUAUUAGUAGUAGUAGUAGUAGUAAUAAUAAUAAUAGUAAUAAUAAUAAUAAACAAUAUCAUUUUAUUUACCAAGUAGUUUGGGUGGUAUACAAAGCUAAAAGUUUUAAAUGGUAUGUAUUCCUAUUAUUAUCUUAAAUUAUUCUGUUCAGUAAAAUGAAUAAUUUAAAUUGUACCACAUAUUUCAUUGUAAAAUGUGAAAUAUGAUUAAUAAUUUUUCAAAAAAUAUGAAUGCCGGACGUUUAAAGGUUUUCAAUGUCAUGCAUAACUUUCUGCGACUUAAUAAAUAAUACAUCUAUUUUAAUAGAUCAGAAUAAACUUUAUGCGGAUUUUAAACACGUACGAUGUUCUUUAUUUCUUCAAGUUUUCAUUUCUCGAUUUUCUACAAUAUACGCACUCACACAGUAAUAGGCCUUCUUACAUAAAAGGCAACUUCAAAUAUAAUCCAGUAUCAAGGAAUACAAGAAUGAUGCUCAUCGUGUUUUAAGAUUUUGGACGUCGAUUUUAAAGGAUUUUCAAAGGGAUAUUUUACGGUAGCAUUUGUCUGGUAAAUUAUAAAAGCAGCCUGUUAGACCGACAAGCGCAUUAGAACCACGUUUUGUUAGGCUGCAUAUAAUGUAUUUGUGCAAUCCUUGCAUAGGUAAUUAUUUCUGUAAAAGACGCGGGUAUAGUGUAAUGCUUUUGAAGGCUUUCUCGGAUAUACAAAGCACACAUUAUUUUCAUUCAUAUAUUCCAGAGUAGCCUUUUAUCCUAUUGUUCUUGUUAAUUAAUAAAUUAACCCAACUUUGACUUAACUGAGUUUGAAACCAAGGUGAGACUAGAAAUGGGCUGGCCUGUUGAAGAUAGAGGGACGUAACAUUUAGAGUUAUGAUUAACAAAAGAAAAAGUCAUAGAAAGAGGGAAGAUCCACUUAGAAAGAAUAAGAGUUGCCGUGGGUCAUGCGGUUUGAUGAUUGCGCCCGUGCACCAUGUACUGCAGUAUGUCACUCAUCGCAAGUUGUGCAUAGUGUGUCAGCUGGACGUUGGAAUAAUCAUCUCUUCCAUCAAAACACUGCUCUCUCUCUCUCUCUCUCUCUCUCUCUCUCUCUCUCUCUCUCUCUCUCUCUUUCUCUCACACACACACACACACACAUGAAAAGAAUGAAAAGAGGUUUUUGAGGUUAGAUGCCACGCUCUGUCCGCGUUGGGUGUAGUCUGGUGUGAAGUAGUGACAGAGCUGCAAAAUCAUCUUCUGCUGCUGUUUACAUGGAAUUCACCAUGCUGGCACUUUGAUUCAAGGCAAUAGAACAGGCAGGGGCAGCUCAAUGUUCUUUAAAGCAUCCACCCAGGUGCUCAGACUAGUGAAGAUCUCUUUAAUAUGCAGCAUUACUCCUAUUCUAGGUGGCGGUGUCUUCUGUUGACAUCGGGCUUGAUAGCUGAAUGGUGAGGGCCUGCAUCUCGCAUUGGGAACUGUUGUGGUUUUCCAGUAUUUGUCAUUUCUUUCUUACAUGUUUUAAAAUAAUAAUAGGAAUAUUAAAAUGUUAUAGAAUUUUGUUUUCUCUUUGAGGCAUUUGCUUUCAUUGAAUUACAUAUUUAGUUUGUGAGUAGAUCAUUUGUAAUUUGUGUUGUACAGUGUUUGUUUUCAAAUGUUAAUUGCGGACCUAUGCAGACGCAGUUCUGCGUGUGCAUUGUAAUGAGCUGUGUAAUGAAUUUCCUCGUGGAGGCCAAUAAAUGUAAAUGUGAAAUCUAAUUUGAGCAGUCCAUCUUUGCUUGAUUAAAUACAUAACUACAGGUUAUGACACUGUGGCCUCAUUUAAACCCCCAGGUCUAUUAUUUGCGGAUACAAAACUCUCUCGCUCAGCGUAUCGACAUGAACAUAAUUCUGUCUAACGGGAUAUGUGCCGGGGCCUGGAGCAGCCUAGCUGUGAGGCUGGACGUACAUUCCCGUGCCUGUACCUCCCUCCUUCUCCUCCUCCUCCUCCUCCCAUACUGAGAGAGACAGAAUGUACAGUUAGUUCCUGAAAAGGCGCUUUUUCCCUGGGGGUUACGGAGAGUGUUUUUGGCUUCCAGAACAUCAGGUCAGGGAAGUGCCAGUGUCACUCAGCAGACUUUUGGUCUCAUUUCAAUUAAACCUUCUAAGGGAGGGGAGAUUAUGCUCAAGGAGGGCACUGGAUUCCUCCGUGUCAUUUUGGGUGAUUCUCCAUUCUUGGGGGUGGGGGUUCUCCUGGAUGAGAAACAGACCACAGUGCAUGCACAGGAUGGCAUGGCAACAGUCUCGAAGAAGAAACUGCCACACACCACUUCUUGCUUGCCCCUGUAGCCCCUGCCCCACCCCGCCCCACCCCCACCCCCCCCACGCCAGAAUGUGUGUGGGAAUCAUGCGGAAAUCAUCAGCCCCCCCCCCCCCUUUUUUUUAAGAGCUCUCCGGCUGGACUUUGAGUGACAUCUCCCAUUACGGAUAACAAGGCGGGCCGCACCGGCGCUUACGCUGUCCCGCGGUUUAGCAUCACUUAUUUACGGCUUCCCGCCGAACGAUGCCGCUCGUCCAGGCUUCCGCCAACACGCGCCGUCGCCGGCGGUGAGGCUGCGCACACAAAGGCUGACACAGACGGGGCUUAAUGUUGCGCGGAACCUGACGCAGCACUCUGUGUGGGCGUGUUCUCCUCCACAGCCGCUUCCUUCGCAGGACAUGGAGAGGAUAUACGCUUGGAUAAAUAAACAUUUUAUCUGCUGGCCUUUGCUGGUUAGUUUUGGGGAGACUGCUCUGACAGUCAUAUUUUGGUGUCAUUUUUCCCUAUACAGAAUGACAAGAGCAAUAAACAGUUUUUUUUUUCCAUUAGGUGUAAAUGCCGUAAAUAUCUCACUGUAUUCCCAUUAUUCACAUUGCCAGGAUUCUAGUGCCCAGUGAGGGCACUCAGCUUGCACUGUUUGUUCCAUCCUGCCAGAUCGCACUCUGAGAAAAUACAUGAUGAAAUAAACUUUACCAUAUGAGUCUGGAA